GCUAAUCAAAAAGAAAACCUACACAUAUUCGGCUAGGCUACGGGAUAAUAGUACUUCGGGAGAGAGGGACCACCAUUGCAUCAGAGGCUCUCCGCAAAGGGAAGGCGUUGGUUUGAUAGUUUGUGGAACCCGCUCGGCAUUGAGAGUACGAUCCAGGCUCCAGUUCUACACCCCGUGGCUGAUACGCGAGGGUGACAUCUUUCAGUCAUUCAGGGUGAGCUACUUGGUUAUCCGUGGCCCCUGAAGGACCUUCUCUAUUUAUUUCUGUUUUUUGUAUUCGACAGACAAUAUGUAGUCUUCGGGUAUUUUCAGACUUAUAUUUCGUAUUAUGUUAGCGCUCUUGUACCCUUUGACCAGAUUUUGGGGGUUGUCGUGACAAGUUAUGAUAAGUAUUUAAGACUUGAUAACUUA